CCUACGGGCGGCAGCAGUGAGGAAUAUUGGUCAAUGGACGAGAGUCUGAACCAGCCAAGUAGCGUGAAGGAUGACUGCCCUAUGGGUUGUAAACUUCUUUUAUAUGGGAAUAAAAUGUUUCACGUGUGGGAUUUUGUAUGUACCAUAUGAAUAAGGAUCGGCUAACUCCGUGCCAGCAGCCGCGGUAAUAAGGAGGAUCCGAGCGUUAUCCGGAUUUAUUGGGUUUAAAGGGAGCGUAGGUGGAUUGUUAAGUCAGUUGUGAAAGUUUGCGGCUCAACCGUAAAAUUGCAGUUGAAACUGGCAGUCUUGAGUACAGUAGAGGUGGGCGGAAUUCGUGGUGUAGCGGUGAAAGGCUUAGAUAUCACGAAGAACUCCGAUUGCGAAGGCAGCUCACUGGACUGCAACUGACACUGAGGCUCGAAAGUGUGGGUAUCAAACAGGAUUAGAUACCCGAGUAGUC
rnacentral:rRNA from 1 species